rnacentral:rRNA from 1 species
CGCUAUCACUCCUACGGGAGGCAGCAGUGGGGAAUAUUGCACAAUGGGCGCAAGCCUGAUGCAGCCAUGCCGCGUGUAUGAAGAAGGCCUUCGGGUUGUAAAGUACUUUCAGCAGUGAGGAAGGCAGGUACGUUAAUAGCGUGCUUGUUUGACGUUACCUACAGAAGAAGCACCGGCUAACUCCGUGCCAGCAGCCGCGGUAAUACGGAGGGUGCGAGCGUUAAUCGGAAUUACUGGGCGUAAAGCGCAUGCAGGCGGCCUGUUAAGUCAGAUGUGAAAGCCCGGGGCUUAACCUCGGAAUUGCAUUUGAAACUGGCAGGCUAGAGUCUUGUAGAGGGGGUAGAAUUUCAGGUGUAGCGGUGAAAUGCGUAGAGAUCUGAAGGAAUACCAGUGGCGAAGGCGGCCCCCUGGACAAAGACUGACGCUCAGAUGCGAAAGCGUGGGGAGCAAACAGGAUUAGAUACCCUGGUAG